AUUGAACGCUGGCGGCAUGCUUUACACAUGCAAGUCGAGCGGCAGCGCGGGGGCAACCCUGGCGGCGAGCGGCGAACGGGUGAGUAACGCAUCGGAACGUAUCCUGUAGUGGGGAAUAACUCAUCGAAAGGUGAGCUAAUACCGCAUAAGCUCUGAGGAGGAAAGCGGGGGACCGAAAGGCCUCGCGCUGCGGGAGCGGCCGAUGUCCGAUUAGCUAGUUGGUGAGGUAAAGGCUCACCAAGGCGACGAUCGGUAGCUGGUCUGAGAGGAUGAUCAGCCACACUGGGACUGAGACACGGCCCAGACUCCUACGGGAGGCAGCAGUGGGGAAUUUUGGACAAUGGGGGAACCCUGGAUCCAGCCAUGCCGCGUGAGUGAAGAAGGCC
rnacentral:rRNA from 1 species